GAUGAACGCUGGCGGCGUGCCUAAUACAUGCAAGUCGAGCGAACAGAUGAGGAGCUUGCUCCUCUGACGUUAGCGGCGGACGGGUGAGUAACACGUGGAUAACCUACCUAUAAGACUGGGAUAACUUCGGGAAACCGGAGCUAAUACCGGAUAAUAUAUUGAACCGCAUGGUUCAAUAGUGAAAGACGGUUUUGCUGUCACUUAUAGAUGGAUCCGCGCCGCAUUAGCUAGUUGGUAAGGUAACGGCUUACCAAGGCAACGAUGCGUAGCCGACCUGAGAGGGUGAUCGGCCACACUGGAACGGAGACACGGUCCAGACUCCUACGGGAGGCAGCAGUAGGGAAUCUUCCGCAAUGGGCGGAAGCCUGACGGAGCAACGCCGCGUGAGUGAUGAAGGUCUUCGGAUCGUAAAACUCUGUUAUUAGGGAAGAACAAAUGUGUAAGUAACUAUGCACGUCUUGACGGUACCUAAUCAGAAAGCCACGGCUAACUACGUG
rnacentral:rRNA from 1 species